rnacentral:rRNA from 1 species
GACGGAGGGUGCAAGCGUUGUUCGGAAUUACUGGGCGUAAAGCGCGUGUAGGUGGCUUGCUAAGUCUGAUGUGAAAGCCCGGGGCUCACCCCCGGAAGUGCAUUGGAAACUGGCGAGCUCGAGUCCCGGAGAGGAGGGUGGAAUUCCUGGUGUAGCGGUGAAAUGCGUAGAGAUCAGGAGGAACACCGGUGGCGAAGGCGGCCCUCUGGACGGUGACUGACGAUGAGACGCGAAAGCGUGGGGAGCAAACAGG